rnacentral:rRNA from 1 species
AGCGCAUACGGUGGAUGCCUUGGCAGUCAGAGGCGAUGAAAGACGUGGAAGCCUGCGAUAAGGCUCGGGGAGCUGGCAAACAAGCUGUGAUCCGGGCAUCUCUGAAUGGGGAAACCCACCGGUCUUCGGACCGGUACCGUACGGUGAAUACAUAGCCGUACGGGGCGAACUCGGGGAACUGAAACAUCUAAGUACCCGAAGGAAAAGAAAUCAACCGAGAUUCCCUCAGUAGCGGCGAGCGAACGGGGACCAGCCCUUAAGCUGGACAACUGGUAGGAGAAGGCCCUGGAAAGAGCCGCCAUAGUGGGUGAUAGCCCCGUAUCCGAAACCUGAGUCCAGUGAAAUCGAGUAGGACGGGACACGAGACAUCCUGUCUGAACAUGGGGGGACCAUCCUCCAAGGCUAAAUACUCCUGACUGACCGAUAGUGAACCAGUACCGUGAGGGAAAGGCGAAAAGAACCCCUGUGAGGGGAGUGAAAUAGAUCCUGAAACCGUAUGCGUACAAGCAGUCGGAGCGGACUUGUUCCGUGACGGCGUACCUUUUGUAUAAUGGGUCAGCGACUUAUGUUCAGUGGCGAGGUUAACCGUUUAGGGGAGCCGUAGGGAAACCGAGUCUGAAUAGGGCGAUUUAGUCGCUGGGCAUAGACCCGAAACCGGGCGAUCUAUCCAUGAGCAGGUUGAAGGUUGAGUAACAUCAACUGGAGGACCGAACCCACUGUCGUUGAAAAGCCAGGGGAUGACGUGUGGAUAGGAGUGAAAGGCUAAUCAAGCCCGGAGAUAGCUGGUUCUCCUCGAAAACUAUUUAGGUAGUGCCUCUCGUAUCACCAUUGGGGGUAGAGCACUGUUAAGGCUAGGGGGUCAUCCCGACUUACCAACCCUUUGCAAACUCCGAAUACCAGUGAGUACUAUCCGGGAGACACACGGCGGGUGCUAACGUCCGUCGUGAAGAGGGAAACAACCCAGACCGCCAGCUAAGGUCCCCAAAUACCAGUUAAGUGGGAAACGAUGUGGGAAGGCUCAGACAGCUAGGAGGUUGGCUUAGAAGCAGCCAUCCUUUAAAGAAAGCGUAAUAGCUCACUAGUCGAGUCGGCCUGCGCGGAAGAUAUAACGGGGCUCAAACUGAUAACCGAAGCUGCGGAUACGUGCUUUGCACGUAUGGUAGAGGAGCGUUCUGUAAGCCGUUGAAGGUGGAUUGAGAAGUCUGCUGGAGGUAUCAGAAGUGCGAAUGCUGACAUGAGUAACGAUAAGGGGGGUGAAAAACCUCCCCGCCGGAAGAUCAAGGUUUCCUGCCCAACGUUAAUCGGGGCAGGGUGAGUCGGCCCCUAAGGCGAGACCGAAAGGUGUAGUCGAUGGGAAAUCGGUUAAAAUUCCGAUACCGAUUGUUAUUGCGAUGGAGUGACGGAGAAGGCUAGGCCAGCGCGGCGUUGGUUGUCCGCGUUUAAGGUUGUAGGUCAGUGACUUAGGUAAAUCCGGGUCGCUCUCUUUAAUGAGGAGGCCGAGAACUGAUGACGAUCUUUCUUUUUAGAAAGAGAAGUGGUUGAUGCCAUGCUUCCAGGAAAACCUUCUAAGCUUCAGAUAACAAUUGACCGUACUGUAAACCGACACAGGUGAUCAGGUAGAGAAUACCAAGGCGCUUGAGAGAACUUGGGUGAAGGAACUAGGCAAAAUGGUACCGUAACUUCGGGAGAAGGUACGCCGGCUCUGGUGAUGAGACUUGCUCUCUAAGCUGGGUCCGGUCGAAGUGACCAGGUGGCUGCAACUGUUUAUUAAAAACACAGCACUCUGCAAACACGUAAGUGGAAGUAUAGGGUGUGACGCCUGCCCGGUGCCGGAAGGUUAAUUGAUGGGGUUAGCUUCGGCGAAGCUCUUGAUCGAAGCCCCGGUAAACGGCGGCCGUAACUAUAACGGUCCUAAGGUAGCGAAAUUCCUUGUCGGGUAAGUUCCGACCUGCACGAAUGGCGUAAUGAUGGCCACGCUGUCUCCACCCGAGACUCAGUGAAAUUGAAAUCGCCGUGAAGAUGCGGUGUACCCGCGGCUAGACGGAAAGACCCCGUGAACCUUUACUAUAGCUUCACACUGGACGCUGAUGUUGCCUGUGUAGGAUAGCUGGGAGGCUUUGAACUCCGGACGCCAGUUCGGAGGGAGCCAACCUUGAAAUACCAGCCUGGCAUCAUUGGCGUUCUCACUCAGGUCCGUUAUCCGGAUCGAGGACAGUGUGUGGUGGGUAGUUUGACUGGGGCGGUCUCCUCCUAAAGAGUAACGGAGGAGCACGAAGGUUGGCUAAGUACGGUCGGACAUCGUACGGU